rnacentral:lncRNA from 1 species
AGAGGCUGUCUGGUGACUGCUCGCCUACACUCGAGAAAAUGCCUUAGAGUUUGAAUUUGAGGCAUUUGCAGAAGGAAAGAGGGGACAGACAGAACAGUUUGCUACAUUUUUUACUGCUGCUCAUGGCUGGCGGCACCACACUUGACCUUAGGAAUGCCAAGUGGAAGAGCCUGACGAUGAGACUGAGACUAGGUCGCCAAUUGGAACUGAACUUGGUUUUUCCUCCUCCAACCAGAAUGGCAUGACUCAGCCAUUAGUGACCAGAAUGAUUUCUUAUGCCGAGAGCAAAAAGAAAUGGAUCCAAAUGAGAAAACCGGGACAGCUUGGGUUCUGCAAGAUGGCUGCGAGCUGGGGAUUGCACCGAUGAUAAAGCCCAUAGCUGCUUCUUUGGCAUCCACUCCAUGUCAGGCAAAGUCGAGCGCACAGCGGUAGGUUUCUCCUUUGCUGAUGAUGACCAACCUUGCCCCCAGAAUCCAUCAGGAGUUUGGACGCAUCCACAGCUCCCGGAGAAGAUCCCGCUUGACCUCCCUGUCAGAGGAAAAGUGCUUAGUGCAUUUCUGAGGCCAGGCUCAUAUAUGAGACUACCUCGAGGAUCUCCCAUUUCUCAGCCCAGCGCCCCAACACAAGCUGAUUCCUCCUGGAUAACAGGCACCUUGGCGUCGAGGGAGCCCGCGCCAGCUGACAUUUGCAGACAUUCGUUACUUCUGCCUCGUAGUGCUCCUUUCUUCACCCUCGACGGUCCAGAGCUGAGCUCACAAGACUGA